AUUGAACGCUGGCGGCAGGCCUAACACAUGCAAGUCGAACGAGUGGCGGACGGGUGAGUAAUGUAUGGGAAACUGCCUGAUGGAGGGGGAUAACUACUGGAAACGGUAGCUAAUACCGCAUACCAUCAGAUGUGCCCAGAUGGGAUUAGCUUGUUGGUGGGGUAACGGCUCACCAAGGCGACGAUCCCUAGCUGGUCUGAGAGGAUGACCAGCCACAAUGGGACUGAGACACGGCCCAGACUAUUACGGGAGGCAGCAGUGGGGAAUAUGGGACAAUGGGCGCAAGCCUGAUGCAGCAAUGCCGCGUGUAUGAAGAAGGCCUUAGGGUUGUAAAGUACUUUCAGCGGGGAGGCGUUACCCGCAGAAGAAGCACCGGCUAACUCCGUGCCAGCAGCCGCGGUAAUAC
rnacentral:rRNA from 1 species